AGUUAGACUACGCUCGCCUAACGGGAGAAGAGUUUAAGAAGACCUGGGCCCCGAAUGAGUCUAGGAUGUUCAACAGAAAGGCGAAUUUAUAGAUAUAACGUUCUAAUGAACAGAAAACACGCUAUGUCGACGCAAGCAACGCUCAUUGACUUCAAGUGGUCGGCGGGAGAGAGGACUGCGGCGGACCAGCCAACGCUGGAAGUGUGUUUGUUUACGGGACCUGCACAAGUGCUGGGACAAAUGGCUCGUGGACCGUAAUGUCAGUGACUUUAACUGUGCAGGCCAAAUUGUGUUUUGUAAUAUCUAAAACCGUACUUCCUUUCUCUAAGCAAUUACAAUGAAAUACAAGAAAAAAGAAGCGGCUGGUCAGAAAAAGAAGGAUCGAAGGAGUGGAAAUCGAAAUGACUGGAUACCAAUAUGGUACGACUCCACAGAAGAAAUCAUACACUAAUACGACCAAGUCAACAAGACACUUCUUCAAUUAUAUGGAAAUUUUAAAAAUAAUUCGUGCUUUACAAUCCAUAGACAUCCCCCAUCUUUGCCUUUUAUUUGGUAAUAUGGACUCUAACAAGUCAUUAAUGGUUCAUGCACGGUUGAUGUAUUAUACUUUGACCAGAGUAAAGGUCAAACCUUAACCGCAGGACGUUACAUUUUCCUACCAUUAAAAUGAAUUAACCAAUUUUGUAAAAGUGAACCUUUACUUAUAGGUCUAAUUCCCUUUACAUUUACAUUUUUGGAAAACAUAUUAAAAAUAUCACCAUGCGAUAUUAAAUGCUAUGAUAUCACGACAAGAGUUUCUAUUUUUUUUUUAAAUUGAGACAUAGUUGGUAGCAUUAUUCCAUUUGGUUACAUGAAUCGAUCAAAAAAGUCGUAUAUAACACCGUGUUCAUUAAGAGCUAAUUAUUGUUAGUGUCAAAUUAGAUCAUUUUUUAUUUUGUUAUUCAGUUCAAAGUGACGAUUGAGAUAACAUCAUGUAAGACCACUAAGUAUAGCAUAGGCUGAAUAACAAAUCAUUCAAGUUGUAUUUCAAACAUGACUGACUUGUUUAAGAAUGAAGCGACGAGUUUAUAACUUAUUAAAAGUAUAAUGUUACAGAUUCCAAUAACUGUUUUGUUUUGAAUAGUGUUAACUAUCUGUUUCUGUUAUAUUAGAAAAUUAACAUAAAUUACAACACUAUAUAUAAGUUCCAUCGUUUCGAUUCUUUAUACCUUCAAUAAGUAAUACGUUAUUCUUUAAAGAUGUACUCAUCUUUAAUAUAUGUAAAGAUCUGUGAGUUCUUCUGUACACUACUUUCAAAUUCUACCCAGGAUUAUCUACUAAAAGUGACAGAUUAGCUGAAAACAUUAUUUGUUGCUAGCUUUAUCCCAAGUCUUGAUUUAAACUGUGUAUUAAAACGACUAAUAUGAAAAUAAAAGAAAUUUGAAAUAUUACAA